GAGAAAAGGAAAGAAUUUAAAAAUCAAACUAAUUGAAUUAUUUGCUUUGGGAUCAAGAUUUCUCAGUAAAUGGUCUCAGGAUUAAAAACAAACAAUACAGAACUCUACAACUCCAGAAGAGAAAAUAAAAACGCAGUAUUUCUCCUCUCCUGCCCUCUGAGAUGGGGUGCUACAGUGAUGUUUACAGGUCAGAUGGAACGUGAAUGAAGCAUAUUUUGGAUAACAACUUAGAUGGCCACUGAUCAACAGGAAGAAGAAACAAGCUGGCUAUGAAUUUGUUAAGGCACAUAGUUCAAUACGAUUAUACAACGGUGAAAAAGCUUGGCUCAGCUAAUCUUCUCAUAACACAUGGUGCUCAAGGUUUACUGUGCUUUAUAAAUCUUUCUAGAAAAAUAUUUUAAGCAGAUGCCAAGAUUGAAAACCAAAGUUCUUUUCAGGACACGUCCGGAUCAGUCGGACCUGGAGGAUGUGAACCUUCUCUCACCAGCACCUCCCAGCUGCUGGGGGGUGACCUGGCCCAGGAGAACUCUAGUUUGGAAAGUAAACAGGGGCCCUUGAACGCAGGUCUUCAAGAAGACGCCGCGAGGAACUGUCCAACAGAAAAAUAAUGGCAGCUGCGUGUGUCAUUCUGAACUUUGCAGUAGCUGCAUUAAAAGAGAAGGAUGAAACAGGUGGUGGGUAUGUGGGGAGAGUGCUGUGAGGUCUGCGAAGUCCUGGGUGUGUUUUACACUUACUGCACAUCUCAGUCUGGACUGGCCACACUUCAAGUGCUUCCACCCACGUGUGGCAGGCAGCCACGGCACUGGCAAGCACAAAGCCGACACAGCUACGAGGGCGGAAAAGUUAAUGUGCUUUCGCCAUGCCAUCCGCGAUGACUUCAAAUCAACCUGCCUAAGAGCCAUGCACAUCUCUACUCUUCCAGGUGGAGGGGUAGGGCCUAGCUGUCUCUAGUCCCGGGUAAGCUGGUUUCCAG